AAAUUAAUGAGCUUGAUAAAAGCUUUUGUUUUGAAAACUUAAGAAAGAAUUAUCUAUUAAUUCUAUUAAUU
rnacentral:tRNA from 1 species